CGAUCCCACGACGCGUAAUUAGCGCUAACAACCCGUGUGAUGAGAGACCAGAGGACAUCUGCUCGGAGACCCAUGCCCUUGUGCGAUGGAGAACUUCGCGAUGCAUCGGCCGACGGCUGCUCCGGUCGCCGGCCCUACUCCCGAGGGCGCCGUGCGCCGAGAGGUCAAGGGAGUGGCCCAUAGAUGCCGUCCUCCUCUGCUUGGUGGCCUCCAUGGAUGCGGGAGACCAUGUCGCCAGAUCCGUCGCUGGCCGACCGAAGGGUCCCCCGAGGGCGGCCAAUGGACGGAGCCUCGCCACCUACCUCCAACAGAUGUCCGGCACCCCAUUGCUACUGGCACGUCGUCCCAACCAACGUCGCUGUCAGCCUCACGGGAUUCAGAGGAGGCAUGGCGGAUUCUGCUCCUGCAGUCGAGUUUUUGCUACCCUUCAUUUCCUUUAGCCAGAUCAGUGUGGUUCUAAACUUUGUAUACACUUUUGGAUUUGUGAGAAAAACGAGAUGGUGGUUCGAUUUCCUCCCGGCCUGUACACCCGCACACACUUUCAGUAGGAAGAUGAUCCCGGUGUAGGAGGACCCGACGACUGACGUGAAGUCGGGGUGGAAGAAGGGCAUGAAGGACACCUUCCUAAAAGGAAUGAUCUGAUUUUUCCGGUAUAUAAUUAUGUAUUUUAAAAAAUUACUGGGGUGUACUUUUUAUAUUAUGACUACAAUCUUUGAAAUUAUAUUUAUAUAUACCAUUUUAUUUGAAAAUAAGUUAUAAAUUAAAAUUUCUGAAUAGAUUGGAUGAUGUUUCAUGUGUUUGAAUUGCAUUUUAGGUCAAAUAAGUCUGCUAGGUUAGAGGAGCUAUGACAAAAGUUGUUCAAAAACCGAAUGAACUUUUUCUUCGUUCAGUAAUGGAGAUUUAUCAUGUAUUAGAAUGUGUCAACUUCUGCAAGUUUGUGUUCUCCUAUCGAUAGCUCUAUUUCCGUCAGGUAUCUCACUCUGUUUGUGGUCUUUUUUUUCGGUUCAUGAAUACAAAAUGAGCGUGAAGAGGUGAAGAUACUGGCGUGAAGGAACCAUGAGAUGAGAACAUGCUGAGAACAGUUCUAUUGAUGAACAAUUGACCACUGUAAUUAUAUACUAAUGCAGCUGUUGCAAGCUUUCUUUUUUAUUUAAAAUCUUUAUUGUGACAACCUCUAAGAUUUUCAGCCAUCUCUUUAUAGGUACUAUAGGGAACUAAUUUCGAAGUUACUGGUGUUGUCCCUUUUACUUUUCUGCUCAUACAUUGUUGCUAAUUUGGAGUAAGUACAUGAAAUCUACUGACUCUGAGGUCUUUAUUAUGUAGUCCAGUUUCUUCAUGCUUGCAUUUGUCCAUGUUUCUCUUCUAUUUCCAUCAUUGAGAAGUUAAGAUGUUGGUUUGGACGAUAUUCUGAUGUUGUUAGUUACAGUAGGAUAUUCUGAUAUUUGUUGAUCGUUUCCAGGCUAAGGUUCACUAGAAAAUAUAUAUUGGAACUACCAGCUAUCAUGCUAGACGAUGAUAAUGGUUUACUCCUUUUGAUGCGAGAUGAGCUAAUCAGGGUGCUUGAUCUACAAGGUUAAGAUGCUAGAUGAUUAAAAAGAUUCUUUUGAACAUAAAAGUACCCCAGAGUUUCUCUCCUCACAACUAGAACAGACACAUUACCAAAAAUUUAUUCAAUUCGAUUUCAGUUUGUUAGUGAUAUUAUUGUUUGUACUUUUUUUGCCCGUGAUGAUUAGCGCCAAUUUACGAGUUUUGUAUUUAAUUUUGUGAUAUUAUUCCCAGUCACCACAAGUUUGGUCUGGCAAAUUGACUUUGCUUGUUUUUUGUUCAAUCAUCUCUUUACCUAAUGCAGAUUAUAGAUAUAUUAUGUUUCAUCUUCACAUCGAUUGCCAAGUCGACUGAUGCGUAUUCUUGUCGGGUCUGGACCAAACUGAAUGCAGAUGUUAAGGUUGAUGAUACUACAGCGUCUCGAUCAUUGCCAUUCAAGCAUGUUUUUAAAGAGGAAAAAGAAUCAUGCAAAGCCUAAAUAUGACAUGGUUACGGAGGUGUAAUGGUCAGCCAUGAGUUCGUGGCUGCAAUGCGGUGUUUCCUUACUGCCAGGGGUGCCCAUGGUCACAGAUAAACUGAAAUAACAGUAAGUGACACACUAUAUGUCUAUAUACUGUGCUCUCUAUUGUGUAUGUAAAAACUAAAAAGUGCUAUUCAGCUGAAUGAUAAGAUGUGUCUUGUAGAGACGUGCGUGCACGUGCAAGGCUACUAGUUUCGGAAAAAGUUCAGGAACAUGCAAAAAACGUUGCCCUAUUCAAGAAAAGUUCAGUGAUUUUGUAAAAGUUCAUCAAUUUUAAAAAAUAAUUCACAUAGAAUUGAAAAAUGUUCAUCAAAAUUUGAAAAAAGUUCAUUGAUUUUGAAAACAGUUCAUCAGAUUUGAAAAAAAGAUCAUUGAUUUUUGAAAAUAGUUCAUCAAAUUUGAAAAAAAGUUCAGCAAAUUUUGAAAAAAGAUCAUCAGAUUUGAAAAAAGUUAAUUGAAUUUUGAAAAAAAGUUCAUCGAUUUUGAAAACAGUUCAUCAGAUUCGAAAAAAGUUAUCAGAUUUGAAUAAAAGUUCAUCGAAUGUGAAAAAAAGUUCACAAAUCUGAAAAAAGUUCAUCGAUUUGAAAAAAGUUCAUCGAACUCGGAAGAACAAAAAGGAAAAAACAGAAAACGAAAAAGGAAAACAGAAAAGGGUAAAAAGGAAAAAAAGGUAAAACAGAAAAAGGUAAAAAGGAAAAAGGUAAAACAGAAAAAAAUAAAAAGGAAAAAGCUAAAAGAACUUAAAAGUUCAUUCUAAACAAAUCAGGUGUGUUGGCCUGCUGGUUACACCCGCGGUACUACAUGCGCGAGGUCCCUGGUUCGAAUCGCGCGAGCGCUUCAGGCUCCGGUUCGCAAGCGGGCGCAUAUGCGCCAAAUAGGAAAUCCCAGGUUUCGAACCUGCGAGACAUCCUCAUGCAAGCUAAGCUACAAUAGCCAACUAGACCAAUACCACCGAUGCGGUUAUCUGCAACCUUUUGGUUCCUUUGUUCCCCCCUUUUUUUUUCCUUUUUUUAAUUCAACGAAACAAGUUUAUCGAAUUUCAUGCACUUUUUUCAAAUCCGACAACUUUUCUACAAAA